UAAUACGGAGGGUGCAAGCGUUAAUCGGAAUAACUGGGCGUAAAGCGCACGCAGGCGGUCGGAUAAGUCAGAUGUGAAAGCCCCGGGCUCAACCUGGGAACUGCAUUUGAAACUGUUCGACUAGAGUCUUGUAGAGGGGGGUAGAAUUCCAGGUGUAGCGGUGAAAUGCGUAGAGAUCUGGAGGAAUACCGGUGGCGAAGGCGGCCCCCUGGACAAAGACUGACGCUCAGGUGCGAAAGCGUGGGGAGCAAACAGG
rnacentral:rRNA from 1 species